rnacentral:rRNA from 1 species
GAUGUGAAAUGCCACAGCUUAACUGUGGGAAACGCAUUGGAAACUGUAUGACUUGAAUCUGUGAGGGGUAACUGGAAUUCCUAGUGUAGGGGUGAAAUCUGUUGAUAUUAGGAAGAACACCGAUGGCGAAGGCAAGUUACUGGCACAUGAUUGACGCUGAGAUGCGAAAGCGUAGGGAGCGAACAGGAUUAGAUACCCUGGUAGUCUACGCUGUAAACGAUGUGCACUUGGUGUCGGGGUUUCUAAGCCUCGGUGCCGUAGCUAACGCGUUAAGUGCACCGCCUGGGGAGUAUGCCGGCAACGGUGAAACUCAAAGGAAUU